rnacentral:miRNA from 1 species
AGCUGGGAUUAGCUCUGUAGGC